rnacentral:rRNA from 1 species
UUCCGCAAUGGACGAAAGUCUGACGGAGCAACGCCGCGUGAGUGAUGACGGCCUUCGGGUUGUAAAGCUCUGUUAAUCGGGACGAAAGGCCUUCUUGCGAAUAGUGAGAAGGAUUGACGGUACCGGAAUAGAAAGCCACGGCUAACUACGUGCCAGCAGCCGCGGUAAUACGUAGGUGGCAAGCGUUGUCCGGAAUUAUUGGGCGUAAAGCGCGCGCAGGCGGAUAGGUCAGUCUGUCUUAAAAGUUCGGGGCUUAACCCCGUGAUGGGAUGGAAACUGCCAAUCUAGAGUAUCGGAGAGGAAAGUGGAAUUCCUAGUGUAGCGGUGAAAUGCGUAGAUAUUAGGAAGAACACCAGUGGCGAAGGCGACUUUCUGGACGAAAACUGACGCUGAGGCGCGAAAGCCAGGGGAGCGAACGGGAUUAGAUACCCCGGUAGUCCUGGCCGUAAACGAUGGGUACUAGGUGUAGGAGGUAUCGACCCCUUCUGUGCCGGAGUUAACGCAAUAAGUAUCCCGGCCUGGGGAGUACGACCGCAAGGUUGAAACUCAAAGGAAUUGACGGGGGCCCGCACAAGCGGUGGAGUAUGUGGUAUAAU